UACGAAGGGAGCUAGCGUUGUUCGGAAUUACUGGGCGUAAAGCGCGCGUAGGCGGCUUUUCAAGUCAGACGUGAAAGCCCCAGGCUUAACCUGGGAAUUGCGUUUGAUACUGUUAGGCUAGAGUGUGGAAGGGGCUACUGGAAUUCCGUGUGUAGCGGUGAAAUGCGUAGAUAUCGUAAGGAAGACCAGUGGCGAAGGCGGGUCUCUGGACAGUUCCUGACGCUGAGGCACGAAGGUCAGGGGAGCAAACGGG
rnacentral:rRNA from 1 species